AAGGAAGGUUGGUCCGCUCACCUGUCACCCUCUCUCUCCCUUCUGACCCAAUUUCUACCUUUCAGUGCCCGGCAGCCUUAGCCAUCUCUCUCUCCCCGCUUUUCUGUAUUUGGCUUGCCUAAGGGGCGCAAAACUCUAGCCCCGGUCCCAGUGCCCCCAACUCCAUCGAGUCCCUGUGGGAAUCCCCAAACGCCGUGAAAAUAAAGAUAAAUGGAGGAUAAGGAGUGCUUGGAGGAAAAACCAUGUUUGCAGACAACAGUGUAGGCGAUAUUGAGCCCCCUGAAAGAGAAGGAGAGUAAAGGCUGCUUUGAGUUCUGCGACAGUAGUUAAGAAAACUCUUCCGAAUGGCUGUUGUGGUGACACCAACUAAUGGAGACUAACGGCCACGGAUGGAGUCGCUGGGAUGUCAUGGACAAUUGUAAACCAGCUGAAGAACAUGUUCAAGGGAAAAGUCCUAAUGUCAGGGGUUUCCAACCCCCAGGCCACAGACCGGUACUCUUAGGAAAUGGGCCACAAGGCAGGAGUUCUUGAGACUAGACACCCAUGGUGCAGCAACUCAAGAGAAGAAUGUGCUUUGAAAAAGAGUUCUUAACAGUCUAGACUUAGAGGAUAAAACAGAGGAGACAUACCUUCCCUCUUCCCUUCUUUUGAUUUCUUAAAAUGACUAUAAUGCCAAAAUGUUCCCGUUUCAGAGAGACAUGGAUAUUGGCCCUCCCUGCAGUAUUUUCUUGUUGAAAUACUGGUCAACAGGGCUAACACCAGCAGAAGCAGCUCUCACUGGUCUGAAGCCCAUUUGCCU